rnacentral:tRNA from 2 species
GCCCCCGUAGCUCAGCUGGAUAGAGCGCACCCCUCCUAAGGGUGAAGUCACACGUUCGAAUCGUGUCGGGGGCGCCA